UAAAAAUUAAAUAGAAAAAGUUAACUUGAUAAUUAAUUAACAGAAGAGGCAGAAGUAUAUAUAUAAAUAUAAGCAGCAGAGAUAUAUUUGUGUGGUAAGAGGAUGAGAUGCAAAGAUGGAUGGAAGAAGAAAGUAGAUGGAAGCCAAAAUGGUAAAUUGGUAACUAAGAAAGAAAACUUGGGUGGCCACAGGCACAGGCAUAUAGAGCUGAUUUUAAUUUGAGUGUUUGUUGGUUAAACAUUAUUUGAGGAGAAUCCGGUAAUUAGGGGAAUUGAAGCCCUAGGGGGUGUCAAUUUUCGGCCCCCACUUUGAAAACGCUUGUGCUUGUGCUUGUGGAGAACGCAACAAUGGAUACAGAUACAUUUUGAUUACGAUGUAUAACUGCGUUCUCUCUCUCUCUGACACACAUCUUAUUAAGCACCAACCAAUCUCCUUCAAUUCUUCCUCAUUUAUUACUUACACACUCUAUCUCUCUAUAUAUACAUCAUUAUUCACUCUUCAUUCUCACUUCUCUUCUUCUUUUCUUCCACCAUAUACUUUUACUGCUUUGCCCUCAUCAUACACAUACAUUAUUGUUGCCUAUCAAUACUUCAAUACUAGUCCAUGUGGGUCUCCCUCUAAUUUGUACCCCUUUCAAUUAUCACAUUUUAGGGUUAGGGUUAGGGCUCUUCUUCUUCUUCUUCUUCAUGGAGUAUACAUAGAUCUGAUCUGCUCUCAAUCAAAACCAGUCACUGUUUGCCGGUGGAGCAUCAUCAAGAUUCACAAGUUCUUUCACUUAGCUUGGUGGUUAGCCAUGACUAUGAGAAUCUUGAUGAUGCUGCAGCAGCAAUAAAUGACUACUACUACUACCACCUUCAGGAGUUCAAGUUCAUCACAAUAAGCCUAAAUAGGGUGACCAAGCGAACGGCUAAGAAUUCGAAUGAGGUGAUGACUGCUUAGAGCUAUUUUGUUCUGACCUUAAUGAUGGACAAGAUGAAAUUGCAUGGUUAAAUUAUCACUAAUUGAAUUGAUAUGUGGAUAAUGAGUUAUAACUCAAAUGGCAUAGACUCCCCAUACUCAAUUAAGAGGUCACGGGUUCGAGUUACAUAUCUUUUUAAAUUUUAGCCAAGAAGCAAUAGCUGCUCUAUUCUGUGCUAAUAAUAUUCUUGCUAGGUUACAAAAACUUUAUUCAAUAUUUAUAUAUGUAAUAAUCUUUCAUUUAGUGAUUUACUAGCUAGAACCCAUGUAUGUGCUUCCCUAAUUAGUGUUAGGAAAAGUAUAUGUAGACAACAAAAAUACUAAAUAAUGUGAACAAUGGAAAUAUCGGAUGUUCAAUUCAA